ensembl:snoRNA
UUGCACUGUUCGUAACCUGUAUACAGUCUCUUCUGCUUAUGGGUUCCAUUCCAGUGCUACAGUAACAUCCAAGAUAAGAAAAAGCUGGCUAUUUCUGCCUGUGUCUUUGCUAUUUUGGUUACAUCA